CCCAGACCGAUAGCGAACAAGUAGAGUGAUCGAAAGAUGAAAAGCACUUUGAAAAGAGAGUUAAACAGCACGUGAAAUUGUUGAAAGGGAAGCGCUUGCGACCAGACUCGCCCGCGGGGUUCAGCCGGCAUUCGUGCCGGUGUACUUCCCCGUGGGCGGGCCAGCGUCGGUUUGGGCGGCCGGUCAAAGGCCCCUGGAAUGUAGUGCCCUCCGGGGCACCUUAUAGCCAGGGGUGCAAUGCGACCAGCCUGGACCGAGGAACGCGCUUCGGCACGGAC
rnacentral:rRNA from 1 species